AGCCAGCAUCCUGAUGACUCUUAAAGUGCAUAGUUCAGCUGAAUCGUCCAUGUUGAACACAACUUCCAAAAUGUCUUUCGCUCCUAUCUGAUGCUAUGC
rnacentral:snoRNA from 1 species